rnacentral:rRNA from 1 species
UGCAUGCUUUUACAGUAUGAAAAUUGGUGAUUUAUAAUAACUUAGCAAAUCGCAUAGUGAAAACAGGCGAUAAAUCAUUCAAGUUUCUGACCUAUCAGCUUUCGACGGUAUGGUAUUGGCUUACCGUGGCAGUGACGGUUAACGGGGGAUUAGGGUUCGAUUCCGGAGAGGGAGCCUGAGAAACGGCUACCACAUCUAAGGAAGGCAGCAGGCGCGCAAAUUACCCAAUUCUAACAGUUUGAGAGAGGUAGUAACAAGAAAUAACAAUACAAGGCAGUUAAAAUGCUUUGUAAUUGGAAUGAUAGAAAUUUAAACCCUUUUUAAAGUAUCAAUUGGAGGGCAAGUCUGGUGCCAGCAGCCGCGGUAAUUCCAGCUCCAAUAGCGUAUAUUAAAAUUGUUGCAGUUAAAAAGCUCGUAGUUGAAGUUCUGCUAAAAGUAACCGGUCUGCUUUGAAUAAAAGUGGUAUCUUGGUAUGUAUUUAGCAAUGAUGUCCUUUGAAGUGUUUUUUACUUUAUUGUAAUAAAGCAUAUUCAGGACUUUUACUUUGAGAAAAUUAGAGUGUUUCUAGCAGGCCAACGCUUUGAAUACUGCAGCAUGGAAUAAUAAGA